rnacentral:rRNA from 1 species
AUUGAACGCUGGCGGCAGGCCUAACACAUGCAAGUCGAACGAGUGGCGGACGGGUGAGUAAUGUCUGGGAAACUGCCUGAUGGAGGGGGAUAACUACUGGAAACGGUAGCUAAUACCGCAUACCAUCAGAUGUGCCCAGAUGGGAUUAGCUCGUAGGUGGGGUAACGGCUCACCUAGGCGACGAUCCCUAGCUGGUCUGAGAGGAUGACCAGCCACACUGGAACUGAGACACGGUCCAGACUCCUACGGGAGGCAGCAGUGGGGAAUAUUGCACAAUGGGCGCAAGCCUGAUGCAGCCAUGCCGCGUGUAUGAAGAAGGCCUUCGGGUUGUAAAGUACUUUCAGCGGGGAGGCGUUACCCGCAGAAGAAGCACCGGCUAACUCCGUGCCAGCAGCCGCGGUAAUAC